AUCCAGCCGACGAGUCCCAAAUAGAACGAAAUGCGCGUCCUGGAU
rnacentral:hammerhead_ribozyme from 1 species